CACAGUGAAAUGUGAUACGUAAUGUGAAUUGCAGAAUUCAGUGAAUCAUCGAAUCUUUGAACGCACCUUGCACCUUUUGGUUAUUCUGAAAGGUACGCCUGUUUGAAUGUCACGAAACCCCCCUCGGCUCUAAUGCUUUCUAAAAGGAUUAGAGACGGAUUCUGAGUGUUGGCGUGAAUACGCCUCGCUUUAAAUAGAUCAGCACUUUUGGAUGGUUGAAUAUUAGUUCAAAAGACGUACUUGAUGUUGUAUUUAUAUGUCAUUGAGGCAGUCUUUGGUCGUUCCGACUAUCCGCUAAUACGAAGACUUGAAGAAUAGCUUCCUAACCCUAUUCAUUUAACCUUUAGACUUCAAAUCAGGUGGGACUACCCGCUGAACUUAAGCAUAUCUUUUGUGGAGGACAAG
rnacentral:rRNA from 1 species